rnacentral:rRNA from 1 species
GACGAACGCUGGCGGCGUGCCUAACACAUGCAAGUCGAACGAGGUCCAACCAAUGGCAACAUUGGGGAAUACCUAGUGGCGAACGGGUGAGUAACACGUGAGGAACCUGCCCCGAAGACCGGGAUAACGCUCCGAAAGGAACGCUAAUACCGGAUACCUUCACCUGAUCGCAUGAUAGGGUGAAGAAAUGGAUUCCGCUUCGGGAGGGUCUCGCGGCCUAUCAGCUUGUUGGUGGGGNGAUGGCCUACCAAGGCGACGACGGGUAGCCGGCCUGAGAGGGCGACCGGCCACACUGGGACUGAGACACGGCCCAGACUCCUACGGGAGGCAGCAGUGGGGAAUCUUGCGCAAUGGGCGAAAGCCUGACGCAGCGACGCCGCGUGAGGGAUGACGGCCU